rnacentral:rRNA from 1 species
ACAGGGAUUGCCUCAGUAGCGGCGAGUGAAGCGGCAAAAGCUCAAAUUUGAAAUCUGGCGUCUUUGGCGUCCGAGUUGUAAUUUGAAGAAGGUAUCUUUGGGCCCGGCUCUUGUCUAUGUUCCUUGGAACAGGACGUCACAGAGGGUGAGAAUCCCGUGCGAUGAGAUGACCCGGGUCUGUGUAAAGUUCCUUCGACGAGUCGAGUUGUUUGGGAAUGCAGCUCUAAGUGGGUGGUAAAUUCCAUCUAAAGCUAAAUAUUGGCGAGAGACCGAUAGCGAACAAGUACAGUGAUGGAAAGAUGAAAAGAACUUUGAAAAGAGAGUGAAAAAGUACGUGAAAUUGUUGAAAGGGAAGGGCUUGAGAUCAGACUUGGUAUUUUGCAUGUUGCUCUCUCGGGGGCGGCCGCUGCGGUUUACCGGGCCAGCAUCGGUUUGGAGCGGCAGGAUAAUGGCGGAGGAAUGUGGCACGGCUUCUGCUGUGUGUUAUAGCCUCUGACGAUACUGCCAGCCUAGACCGAGGACUGCGGUUUUUUACCUAGGAUGUUGGCAUAAUGAUCUUAAGUCGCCCGUCUUGAAACACGGACCAAGGAGUCUAACGUCUAUGCGAGUGUUUGGGUGUAAAACCCGUACGCGUAAUGAAAGUGAACGAAGGUGGGGGCCUAUUAGGGUGCACCAUCGACCGAUCCUGAUGUGUUCGGAUGGAUUUGAGUAAGAGCAUAGCUGUUGGGACCCGAAAGAUGGUGAACUAUGCCUGAAUAGGGUGAAGCCAGAGGAAACUCUGGUGGAGGCUCGUAGCGGUUCUGACGUGCAAAUCGAUCGUCGAAUUUGGGUAUAGGG